rnacentral:rRNA from 1 species
AUUGAACGCUGGCGGCGUGCCUAAUACAUGCAAGUCGAACGCAGUGGGGACGGGUGAGUAACACGUGGGUAACCUCCCCAUCAGAGGGGAUAACACUUGGCAACAGGUGCUAAACCGAUAUUGCAGUAUGUACCCGCUGUGCAUUAGCUAGUUGGUGAGGUAACGGCUCACCAAGGCAACGAUGCAUAGCCGGCCUGAGAGGGUGAUCGGCCACAAUGGGACUGAGACACGGCCCAGACUCCGACGGGAGGCAGCAGUAGGGAAUCUUCGGCAAUGGAGGAAAGUCUGACCGAGCAACGCCGCGUGAGUGAAGAAGGUUUUCGGAUCGUAAAGUACUGUUGUCAGAGAAGCGGUAUCUAACCAGAAAGCCACGGCUAACUACGUGCCAGCAGCCGCGGUAAUAC